rnacentral:misc_RNA from 1 species
CCGAGUUUACAACUCCCAAACCCCUGUGAACAUACCUAUACGUUGCCUCGGCGGAUCAGCCCGCGCCCCGUAAAAGGGACGGCCCGCCCGAGGACCCCUAAACUCUGUUUUUAGUGGAACUUCUGAGUAAAACAAACAAAUAAAUCA